rnacentral:rRNA from 1 species
UACAUAGGGUGCAAGCGUUAUCCGGAAUUAUUGGGCGUAAAGAGCUCGUAGGCGGUUUGUCGCGUCUGCUGUGAAAACUGGAGGCUCAACCUCCAGCCUGCAGUGGGUACGGGCAAACUAGAGUGCGGUAGGGGAGAUUGGAAUUCCUGGUGUAGCGGUGGAAUGCGCAGAUAUCAGGAGGAACACCGAUGGCGAAGGCGGGUCUCUGGGCCGUAACUGACGCUGAGGAGCGAAAGCGUGGGGAGCGAACAGG